CCAGAAUUUUAUGAAGAGCUGAAAUCAAUAGAGCGUUUGGUUGGUUCUCUAGCUUCAGAAGGCAAACUUUGUUGCGCUGUGGCAAACGCAAUCGAGAACUUGAAAACUGAAGGUGAACAGAGUUAGGAGCGAUCACUAAUGGUUUCUCUGAUCUAUAAUUUAUGUUUCAAUAUUUGGCCCAGUCUAUAAUCUUAUUGUAAUGCCACAUUCUAAUGUAAAUUUUAUUAUUUGCAUUCUAAUUCAAAA
rnacentral:misc_RNA from 1 species